AUUGAACGCUGGCGGCAUGCCUUACACAUGCAAGUCGAACGGCAGCACGGGGGCAACCCUGGUGGCGAGUGGCGAACGGGUGAGUAAUACAUCGGAACGUGUCCUGUCGUGGGGAUAACCAGUCGAAAGACUGGCUAAUACCGCAUGAGAUCGAGAGAUGAAAGCAGGGGACCGCAAGGCCUUGCGCGAUUGGAGCGGCCGAUGUCGGAUUAGCUAGUUGGCGGGGUAAAAGCCACCAAGGCGACGAUCCGUAGCUGGUUUGAGAGAACGACCAGCCACACUGGGACUGAGACACGGCCCAGACUCCUACGGGAGGCAGCAGUGGGGAAUUUUGGACAAUGGGGGGCAACCCUGAUCCAGCCAUGCCGCGUGUGUGAAGAAGG
rnacentral:rRNA from 1 species